rnacentral:snRNA from 1 species
GGAGGGCAAUCUGGCUGCAAUCUGUCACCCCAUUGAUCGCCAGGGUUGAUUUAGCUGAUCUGGCUACCUUAGUAGGUAUUCUCUUCCUCCCGCACUGCUCCAUCCUUUGGAAUGGAUGAGUGGAAGAGGAUGGCCUUCCCCGAAUAGAGACAGUUAGGUCGGUUAGGUUGAGGGUAUACUAGUAGCUGCGCUCCCUUGCUAGAACCUCUAAACAAGCUCUUAAGAAGCAGAGGCUAGAUGGUUAAGGGGGUGGGACUUGUACCCAUUGCUCAGAGUCUGGUUGCCUUAGU